GACGAACGCUGGCGGCGUGCUUAACACAUGCAAGUCGAACGGAAAGGCCCUGCUUGCAGGGUGCUCGAGUGGCGAACGGGUGAGUAACACGUGGGUGAUCUGCCCCUUACUUUGGGAUAAGCCUGGGAAACUGGGUCUAAUACUGGAUAGGACCAUGCUGUAGGUGGUGUGGUGGAAAGAUUAGUUUCGGUAAGGGAUGAGCUCGCGGCCUAUCAGCUUGUUGGUGGGGUAAUGGCCUACCAAGGCGUCGACGGGUAGCCGGCCUGAGAGGGUGGACGGCCACAUUGGGACUGAGAUGCGGCCCAGACUCCUACGGGAGGCAGCAGUGGGGAAUAUUGCACAAUGGGCGCAAGCCUGAUGCAGCGACGCCGCGUGGGGGAUGACGGCCUUCGGGUUGUAAACUCCUUUCAGCCAUGACGAAGCCUUCGGGUGACGGUAGUGGUAGAAGAAGCACCGGCUAACUACGUG
rnacentral:rRNA from 1 species